GUGCCAGCCGCCGCGGUAAUACGUAGGGGGCGAGCGUUACCCGGAAUCACUGGGCGUAAAGGGGGCGUAGGCGGUUUGGCAAGCCAAGUGUGAAAUCCGGCGGCUCAACCGCUGGGCUGCGCUUGAAACUGCCGGGCUUGAGUGCAGCAGAGGGAGACGGAAUUGCCGGUGUAGGGGUGAAAUCCGUAGAUAUCGGCAAGAACGCCGGUGGGGAAGCCGGUCUCCUGGGCUGUUACUGACGCUGAGGCCCGAAAGCUGGGGGAGCGAACCGGAUUAGAUACCCGGGUAGUCCCAGCCGUAAACGAUGCUCACUAGGUGUGGGGGAGAUAAAUCCUCCGUGCUGAAGCUAACGCGCUAAGUGAGCCGCCUGGGGAGUAUGCCCGCAAGGGUGAAACUCAAAGGAAUUGACGGGG
rnacentral:rRNA from 1 species